rnacentral:rRNA from 1 species
GACAGAGGGGGCAAGCGUUGCUCGGAAUUACUGGGCGUAAAGGGCGCGUAGGCGGGAUGGCAAGUCGGUCGUGAAAUCCCUCGGCUCAACCGAGGAACGUCGAUCGAUACUGCUGUUCUUGAGGAUUGCAGAGGAGACUGGAAUUCCCGGUGUAGCGGUGAAAUGUGUAGAGAUCGGGAGGAACGACCGGUGGCGAAGGCGGGUCUCUGGGACGGUACUGGACGCUGAGACGCGAAAGCGUGGGGAGCGAACAGG